rnacentral:rRNA from 1 species
AUUGAACGCUGGCGGCAGGCCUAACACAUGCAAGUCGAACGAGUGGCGGACGGGUGAGUAAUGUCUGGGAAACUGCCUGACGGAGGGGGCUAACUACUGGAAAAGGUAGCUAAUACCGCAUACCAUCGGAUGUGCCCAGCGGGGAUUAGCUAGUAGGUGGGGUAACGGCUCACCUAGGCGACGAUCCCUAGCUGGUCUGAGAGGAUGACCAGCCACACUGGAACGGAGACACGGUCCAGACUCCUACGGGAGGCAGCAGUGGGGAAUAUUGCACAAUGGGCGAAAGCCUGAUGCAGCCAUGCCGCGUGGAUGAAGAAGGCCUUCGGGUUGUAAAGUACUUUCAGCGGGGAGGCGGUACCCGCAGAAGAAGCACCGGCUAACUCCGUGCCAGCAGCCGCGGUAAUUC